GUCUCUGCGUCACCGCCAUCCUCGUCACCUCAGCCACACAAGGCAUGUGCAGAUAAACCCUGAAAUGGCAGAUGCCCCAGAGGUGGACCCUGCCCUCGGAACAGUGGGAGAAAGCGAGCUUGUCCCAAUUGACUGCCUUGAUUAUGAGGAGAACAGCACCAUCAU